rnacentral:rRNA from 1 species
GACGAACGCUGGCGGCGUGCUUAACACAUGCAAGUCGAACGGAAAGGCCCUGCUUUUGUGGGGUGCUCGAGUGGCGAACGGGUGAGUAACACGUGAGUAACCUGCCCUUGACUUUGGGAUAACUUCAGGAAACUGGGGCUAAUACCGGAUAGGAUCUCCUGCUGCAUGGUGGGGGUUGGAAAGUUUCGGCGGUUGGGGCUGGACUCGCGGCUUAUCAGCUGGUUGGUGGGGUAGUGGCUUACCAAGGCUUUGACGGGUAGCCGGCCUGAGAGGGUGACCGGCCACAUUGGGACUGAGAUACGGCCCAGACUCCUACGGGAGGCAGCAGUGGGGAAUAUUGCACAAUGGGCGGAAGCCUGAUGCAGCAACGCCGCGUGCGGGAUGACGGCCUUCGGGUUGUAAACCGCUUUCGCCUGUGACGAAGCGUGAGUGACGGUAAUGGGUAAAGAAGCACCGGCUAACUACGUG